AUUCAUUAACGCGUAAACCAACAUGACCGAUAUAGCUAAACAUAUAAUUUGAGGGUAAAAUGCAAAUUCUGUCUACUAUCUUGAAAAUGCAAUAGAUAGAGAUAAUUUGACAUUUCCUCCGUAUUUUUCGAAUGUCUUAAAAACUAUGCCAGAUAAAUAGAAACUUUUAAAGCCGAAAUAAUCAACAAGACAAGAUCUAUAAACUAGCAAAAUGGACUCUGAUUAUAAAUAAGUGAUCAAAAAGACUACUUUUUUGUUUAAAGGUAAGGUUUGCGUGAAACUGAUUUUUUCUAUUUUAGUGAUAUAAUACAAAUAUGAUACAUCAUUUUGUUCAGGGAGGAGUACCCAAUAAUUUAAUGGAAAAAAUUGAACAUCGCCUAUCCCGUUUUUUCAGGUGAUAAGCUCAAAAUUCCUAUUUUUGACGAUUUUUAGGGGAAACUGUAUUUGAAUUGUUCUCAAAUAAUAAUGUACCAAUGUAUGCGAGUGACUUUAACAAAAUAAAACUGAAU
rnacentral:lncRNA from 1 species